AGCUUCGUAGAAACCUUAUUCUGCUCUGGCUGCUCAAAGACCCUCAGCAGUAUCUACAGACAGUACUGCUGAAAGGUUGAGGUGACACCUGGAUCUGUGAAACCCCUGACUCCCUGUGCCUUCCUGAGGCUGAAGCCACGUUUGCUGUCAGUGACCACAGAGUGGAAGAUGCUAAAGACUGAAAACUUGGGGAUUUUUCUCCUGAAUCUCAAGACUCUCUGCAGCUGUACACUGUCUAUCUCUUAAAAGAGUUUCUGGGUUUAUAAAGGUUUUUACAUUCUGCAAUAUUCAUCUGUAACUCCAUUAAAAAGAGUCAUACUGUA